UACGAAGGGGGCUAGCGUUGUUCGGAAUUACUGGGCGUAAAGCGCACGCAGGCGGCUCGAUAAAUUAGAAGUGAAAGCCCCGGGCUUAACCUGGGAAUUGCUUUUAAGACUGUCGGGCUAGAAUCCAGAAGAGGGUAGUGGAAUUCCGAGUGUAGAGGUGAAAUUCGUAGAUAUUCGGAAGAACACCAGUGGCGAAGGCGACUUACUGGACACAUAUUGACGCUGAGGUGCGAAAGCGUGGGGAGCAAACAGG
rnacentral:rRNA from 1 species